UGACUCGUAGCUCAGCAGGUUAGAGCAAGGCCCUUUUAAGGUCGAGGUCAUGGGUUCGAUUCCCAUGGGGUCAA
rnacentral:tRNA from 1 species